AUACUCUGGUUUCUCUUCAGACCGUAUAAAUCUUUCGCCUUUUACUAAAGAUUUCCGUGGAGAGGAACAACUCUACCUCGAAUAGCCAAAGCAAUCUUGAGAAAGAAGAAU
rnacentral:snRNA from 1 species